ACCCUAGCCUCCGGCGAUUUUGGCGAUUCGCGCUCACGUUGCUUUCUUCCCCGUGGCGUUUAUCUGUUCCGCUGCCACGGGUCUCUUUUACGAUUCUUUCUCCUCUUUGGUACAUCCUUUUAUGUUAGAAUAAAGGAAUGAAAGAUUCUUGAUUGGACACAAGUUGGUACAUGUCUUAGUUGAGAAACAAAAUUAUGUAUCAUGCUACUCGUGAAGGUGAAAGUUUUUUUUUUUUUUUUUUUUUUUGGAGGAGAUUCAAUUUGUAGCUGAUGAUGAUGAUCCCGUCAUUAUAAAACAGAGGAUCUGAUACUCAAUCACAAAAAAAUGAUAAUAAUGUGUGUUGCAAGUGGACUAGAUUACCUUCAUAAUGAUUCUGAUAACAAAAAAUGGAGCAACAACCGUGACAUCAAGAGCUCUAACAUUUGUCUACAUAUCUUCUGAACUGAGAUACACCAAGCAAAUCACUGGAUCACGGUGUAAAACACUUCUUGAAGACGUUAAAAAAACGUAAAAGAAAUACGUGAGCUUCUCUAAGAAAGUGUUCUAUCUUGCACCAUACUUAGCCGGUAAACAUUGGUCACUUAUAAUUGUUUGCCCGGACUUCAAAUUCGGCUAUAUUAUUGAUUCUAUAAAUGAAUGGAAGACCCAUAAAAAUUACAUGCUCGUCAAGAUCAUUGAAGAAGUUUUUAAGAUUAAUUUUAAGUGGGAUACACCAAGCAAAUCAAGUGCCUCGAGAAUGGCCUCGAGUCACGGAUCACCUUGUCAUAAAAGUUCCUCGUCACAAACAAAAGCCAAUGGCACCACGAAGAUUUCAGAUUAUCGUGGUAGUUUAUAUUAAUUUAGAUUUAUUUGUGCAUUUUAUAACACUUUUUUUGUUAUCUUAGCUUGAAGUCGACCCAUUUCUACAAAUCCAACCUCCGGGAUAUGUAAUGCAAUCUCAAGGCAGUUAUAUGAGUUUGGCAUUUCUUUGAGUCGCCCAAUUCUAGGUGUACUUUUUUCAAUCCACAAAUUCACAAAAAGUCACUGGGUCACGGUGUAAAACACUUCUUGAAGACGUUAAAAAACGUAAAAGAAAUGUGUGAGCUUCAUUCUAAAAAAGUGUUCUAUCUUGCACCAUACUUAGCCGGUAAACAUUGGUCACUUAUAAUUGUUUGCCCGGACUUCAAAUUCGGCUAUAUUGUUGAUUCUAUAAAUGAAGAGAAGACCCAUAAAAAUUACAUGCUCGUCAAGAUCGUUGAAGUAGUUUUUAAGAUUAAUUUCAAGUGGCACGUCACAGCGCAAACAACAGAAAGACAAUUAGGAAUGUGGGUAUAUGGUAAUCAAACAUAUGAAAGAGUUUAUCGACUCUAUACAACAUGAUUUGGUUAACCGACUUUGGAAUAAAGAAGGGUAUUUUGAAGAAUCUCAAAUUGAGAAUUUAGUGGUAGAUUUAAUGUCGGGAUUUAUUAAAAGGAUGCUUUGAUCUUGUAAGCAUUAGUUUGUGUUUCAGACUUUUGUGAUUCCGUAUACUUGAACGGGUUGUAGGGUUGUUUAAUACUAGUUAACUUUUGUCGUGAGCAUGUGCAUUUGUGUGUAAUUGGAAUUAUAUUGGGAAAUAAUACUAAAAAUUCUGGAAUUCUGCAAAAA